UUGCAUCAGCAACACAUAUACUGACAUUGGAAUGGUACAGAGAAGAUGAUCAUGGUGUCUGUGCAAGGAUGACACACAAAUCCCUGAAGCAUUCCACAGAAGC